CAGCUUGGCACUGAACAUUGACCCUACAUGUGUAGGAUAGGUGGGAGGCUUUGAAGCACGUACGCCAGUAUGUGUGGAGCCGUCCUUGAAAUACCACCCUUGUAGUGUUGAUGUUCUAACGUCGACCCCUUAUCGGGGUUGCGGACAGUGCCUGGUGGGUAGUUUGACUGGGGCGGUCUCCUCCCAAAGAGUAACGGAGGAGCACGAAGGUGGGCUAAUCACGGUUGGACAUCGUGAGGUUAGUGCAAUGGCAUAAGCCCGCUUGACUGCGAGAAUGACAAUUCGAGCAGGUGCGAAAGCAGGUCAUAGUGAUCCGGUGGUUCUGAAUGGAAGGGCCAUC
rnacentral:rRNA from 1 species